rnacentral:rRNA from 1 species
AUUGAACGCUGGCGGCAUGCUUUACACAUGCAAGUCGAACGGUAACAGGCCUUCGGGUGCUGACGAGUGGCGAACGGGUGAGUAAUGCAUCGGAACGUACCCAGAGGUGGGGGAUAACGCAGCGAAAGCUGUGCUAAUACCGCAUGUGAUCUGAGGAUGAAAGCGGGGGACCGAGCAGCAAUGUUUGGCCUCGCGCCUUUGGAGCGGCCGAUGUCGGAUUAGCUAGUUGGGGGGGUAAAGGCCUACCAAGGCGACGAUCCGUAGCUGGUCUGAGAGGACGACCAGCCACAGUGGGACUGAGACACGGCCCAGCCUCCUACGGGAGGCAGCAGUGGGGACUUUUGGACAAUGGGCGCAAGCCUGCUCCAGCAAUGCCGCGUGCGGGAAGAAGGCCUUCGGGUUGUAAACCGCUUUUGGCAGGAACGAAACGGUGUCCGCUAUACCGGGCGCUAAUGACGGUACCUGCAGAAUAAGCACCGGCUAACUACGUG